AUCCUCUCAUGGUUCAUGAGCAUGAUGAUUGGGGUUUCAUGCCAAUGUGUGAUGUGUGCCGCCCAUUAAACCUUGUUACGAAGUGGGCACAUUACCCAUCUGACA